GGGGUUGUGGCUCAGUGGUAGAGUGCUUGCCUGGCCAUGUAUGAGGCAUUAGGUUUGAUUCUCAGCACCA
rnacentral:tRNA from 1 species